rnacentral:rRNA from 1 species
AGUGAACGCUGGCGGUAGGCCUAACACAUGCAAGUCGAACGGCAGCACAGUAAGAGCUUGCUCUUACGGGUGGCGAGUGGCGGACGGGUGAGGAAUACAUCGGAAUCUACUUUUUCGUGGGGGAUAACGUAGGGAAACUUACGCUAAUACCGCAUACGACCUACGGGUGAAAGCAGGGGAUCUUCGGACCUUGCGCGAUUGAAUGAGCCGAUGUCGGAUUAGCUAGUUGGCGGGGUAAAGGCCCACCAAGGCGACGAUCCGUAGCUGGUCUGAGAGGAUGAUCAGCCACACUGGAACUGAGACACGGUCCAGACUCCUACGGGAGGCAGCAGUGGGGAAUAUUGGACAAUGGGCGAAAGCCUGAUCCAGCCAUGCCGCGUGGGUGAAGAAGGCCUUCGGAUUGUAAAGCCCUUUUGUUGGGAAAGAAAAGCAGCAAGUUAAUACCCCGCUGUUCUGACGGUACCAAAAGAAUAAGCACCGGCUAACUUCGUG